GGCCGCACGCCUGGGCUGAGGGGCCGGGCUUGGAAGCGGGAACAUCGAGGGACGGGGCGGAUCUCUCCGCCGCCGGACACAAAGCGCCGCCGACGCCGCUGCUUUCCGCAAUCCUGGGAGAAGGAGGAGGAGGAGGAGGCGGCGGCGGAGGCUGCCCCUCGGGUCUCUCUCUCCGGCCCUUCCUCUCUCCCUCCUUGCGUAUGAGUCAGGUAUUUCCCACUUUGAGUCUGGCAGCGUCUGUCUCUGUGGUCUUAGAUGAACCUCUUUCACAUCACCUGCUAUCUGACCCCUUUUCAACUGGAGAAAUCAGGGACAGAAGCUGCUGCUAUUGUUGGACAAUUGGGAGUCUGAAAUCCUUGUUGAUUCAGUUCAAAUCACUACCGCUCAGAUGUUAAGUCUGUCUUGUCAAAGGUGGAGGCUAUUUUUAUGACACUGGGACAUAAAUGGAACUUUCAGCCGCACAUGAGCACACUUGCAAUUCCAUCGCUACCCCUGCGUCAACAACAUUCAACCUCAAAUAUAUCGCCUGGGGAAUUCUAGCUAAUGUAAACUUCCUUAUGCAACCGAAGUCAGGAGGUGAUGGGACCAGUGGCCAUGAUCUUGACCUUCAUGGAUCAAUGCCUUGUCGUGGCGAAGGGGCUUGAAUAACUCAGAGAAGCUAUGAGCUAUGCCAUGCAGGACCACCCAAGAUGGACAGGUCAUAGUGGA